UACGUAGGUCGCAAGCGUUGUCCGGAUUUACUGGGCGUAAAGAGCGCGCAGGCGGCUGGUCAAGUCCGAUGUGAAAUCUCCCGGCUCAACUGGGAAACUGCAUCGGAAACUGAUCGGCUUGAAGAUGGGAGAGGGUAGUGGAAUUCCCGGUGUAGUGGUGAAAUGCGUAGAUAUCGGGAGGAACACCAGUGGCGAAGGCGGGUUGCUGGGCUGACACUGACGCUGAGGCGCGAAAGCUAGGGGAGCAAACGGG
rnacentral:rRNA from 1 species